UGGUGGAGUGAUUUGUCUGGUUAAUUCCGAUAACGAACGAGACUCUGUCCUGCUAACUAGGUUGUGUUUUCUCGGGUGGUGCUCUGGUGUUCCUUCUCGGGGCGCCGGCCCAAUCCACUUGUGAACACAACACUCUUCUUAGAGGGACUGGCGGCUGUUAGCCGCACGAGAUAGAGCAAUAACA
rnacentral:rRNA from 1 species